rnacentral:rRNA from 1 species
UACGUAGGUGGCAAGCGUUAUCCGGAUUUACUGGGUGUAAAGGGAGCGUAGGCGGCGAUGCAAGUCAGAAGUGAAAGCCCGGGGCUCAACUCCGGGACUGCUUUUGAAACUGUGUUGCUAGAUUGCAGGAGAGGUAAGUGGAAUUCCUAGUGUAGCGGUGAAAUGCGUAGAUAUUAGGAGGAACACCAGUGGCGAAGGCGGCUUACUGGACUGUAAAUGACGCUGAGGCUCGAAAGCGUGGGGAGCAAACAGG